UCAGUCCAGGAAGACUCCCCAGUCAGUCAAGUAGGAGGAGUCUAUCCAUUACAUCAGUCCAGGAAGACUCCCCCAGUCAAACAAGUAGGAGGAGUCUAUCCAUUACAUCAGUCCAGGAAGACUCCCCCAGUCAGUCAGGUAGGAGGAGUCUAUCCAUUACAUCAGUCAUGUAGGAGGAGUCUAUCCAUUACAUCAGUCCAGGAAGACUCCCCCAGUCAGUCAGGUAGGAGGAGUCUAUCCAUUACAUCAGUCCAGGAAGACUCCCCCAGUCAGUCAGGUAGGAGGAGUCUAUCCAUUACAUCAGUCCAGGAAGACUCCCCCAGUCAGUCAGGUAGGAGGAGGGCGUAGUGGUGAAACCCCAUCAAAGCCAGUUCAGCACAGCAGCAAUGGAGGACAGUGGUGAGUAUGUAUGAGACAGUAUGGAUGCACAUGUGUGUUCCUUACAAUACGUUCUUGUGUCUCUGUAUACUGUUGAUGGAUAAAGUUCUCCACAUCCUGCUGUGUGUGUGUGUGUGUGUGUGUGUGUGUGUGUGUGUGUG
ensembl:lncRNA